CAUUAGUCGAUGCCCCGGUAGCUUAGUGUUAGAGCUCCUAUAUCUAUUGAGCGAAAGCGUCUAGCAAUAACUACUAGGAGGUCGCAGGUUGGAAUCCUGCCCGGUGGUAAAC
rnacentral:tRNA from 1 species